rnacentral:rRNA from 1 species
UACGUAGGGUGCGAGCGUUAAUCGGAAUUACUGGGCGUAAAGCGUGCGCAGGCGGUUCGUUGUGUCGGCGGUGAAAGCCCCGGGCUCAACCUGGGAAUGGCCGUUGAAACUGGCGAACUGGAGUGUGGCAGAGGGGGGUAGAAUUCCACGUGUAGCAGUGAAAUGCGUAGAGAUGUGGAGGAAUACCGAUGGCGAAGGCAGCCCCCUGGGAUAACACUGACGCUCAUGCACGAAAGCGUGGGGAGCAAACAGG